GAUGGUGGGCUAUGGAGAAUGAGAAUGAGGAACAGAAAAUCAAAGCACAGUGUUCCUUUGGUCUUAACCUAACAGGAUAUUUCAGUUUUCAGAGCCUUAUUUAGGUGCACAUAAUAGUAUUUGUAGAGCACUUUAUGUUUUCAGACACUUUGCAAAAUGAUGUUUGCCCUUCACAAAAAUUUCUUCGUGUCAUGGAAGAGGGAGGUAUUAUCUUUAUUUACCAAAAGGGGGAACUGAGAGCAGAGGUCAUGUGAUUAGCACAAAGUUUUCCAGUGAGGCAGUUGCCAAAACACAGGCAAGAGCCUUGUCUUCCAGCCUUUUUACCUUCUUGAUUUUUUUCCAUAUAAUCUUUUCCUAUGUACUACUGCUCUCUCUCCUCCCACCACACACACACAUAGAGCAUACACACACACACACAUAUGUACGUAUGAAUGUAUAUACAUUCAUACACGCAAAUUCUCUUUAGAAAAUUCUGCUAGGCUGGGAACUGCCUUUUCAAUUCCUGCUCUGUUUGGACCGUGUUUAUCACUACACAUGGCAUAGGAUAAAGGUGAUAAUAGCUAACCAGCUUUUCUGAGUGCUUACAAACGUUGUAACUAAUACCCAUGGUCCUCCUACAAGGCAGGCUACAUGGAAGCUCUCUGAAGCUAAAACAACCCAUUCAAGGUCAUAUAGUGUAUAUGCAGAAGAGCAAGGAUCCAUGGCCAACUUUCUCUGAGUCCAAAUGCCACAUGCAUGGCCUCUGGAACUUGACUGGCUUAGUGCCCAUGCAGUACCUGUCAUCACCUGGGGAUUUGCAAGCCUCAGCAUCAGGAAGCUGCUGAAUCCUCACCACCCCACCCCAUUCUCUAGUCCUAGUCCCGCACUGGACUGAGGGAAUGCUCUUUCACAUUGAUUCCAUCUUGCCUUCCUGAGGACCAGGUGACUUUAGUCAAGGUGUCCAGAAGGCAUGAAGUUAUGUUGGCUCAGCUCUCAGCCUAAGAAGGCGGAGUACUAGGAUAGAAGAGAGGCUCCUGGUCACUGCCAAGUUCCCUUGGGUCAGCAUAUGGCCAGUGUAUGUCCAAGAGUUACCUCUGCCAGCCUAGGCAUGUCCUAAGCAGACGGUCUCAUGUGAUGUCUUCUGAAAGUCAAGGUGGAGUGCAAAAAGUCAUCAGAACUAGGGUUCCUUGGCUGCCUGGCUUUAGGCAUCCAUAUGCCUACGACUGAAGGACAUAGGACAUUCUGUGACAUCUUCAAGGCCCUGGGACAAGACUGAUGCAUCUUCCUGGGGCAAGUGGAGGAAAACAGCACAGACUUCUUCAGCCACAAUUAGGUAAAAUGCCUAAUUCCCCUUUAGGAGAAAUGUUGUGCCAAGUGGGAAUUAGGUCUACUGAUUCAGUAAAAAAAAUUAAAAAAAACCCAGAAUGCUAACACAGGAGAGGCUUGCAGGACCCAUGAAAAGUGCUGCGAUAGAGGGCAACCUUGUCCUAGCUCCUCUGUAUGGUAUCUUGCACCCACCAAAACAAGGGAAAAGCCAUCUUGCCCCCACAAGCUGAGUGAUACCAGUGGUCAUCAAAGAAAUUGAGAACAUGCUGGGUUAGGAAGGGCAUGGUCCUCAAUCUGUUGCAUGGAUUAUACUCCUGGACCUGGAACAAUGAAACCAAACUUCACUUCAGAGAUUAGCAAACUUCAGUCUUGGGAAGAGUGCUUCCCAUGCUCGGCUCACCUUUAGUUUUCUGUAUUUUCUACAUUGACGUCAUCUCUUUGAUUGUUAGCAAGCUUCUCAAGGUCAGGGGCAGUCUCUCCAAUUUCUUUGUGUCUUGCUAGCAAAACACAGGCCAUGGACAUCCCAAGACACCUUCCACGAGGGCUUCUGAGUGUCAGAGAUGGAAUGGUGGCUGUGACAGGGACUGCCUUGGGGAGGUCCCCCUCCUGUCUUCGCUUCUAUGGGUCUUUGUUGUCCACUGUAAGAUGGAGCUCUCUCUCAAAGACCCUCCUGGCUCUAAGCAGCUUGCUUCUUUGAAGAUGAGACAGCGUGGCCUCAGAUAAAGAGCACUGGACUUGGAAGCAGAUGGGACGUUUGAACGGUUGCAGUAUCAUUUAAUCGUCUGUUUUUUCAUGCCUCAGUUUCUUCACCUGUAACUGAGAAACAAUAAAAUGGGCCUUCUUUACGUUAGAGGGUGGGGGUGAAACAUAAUUCAGGCACCAAAUAUGCCAACACUUGUACAUCACAGAAGUAAACCCAUCAGGGAGUAGCCAUCCAUGGCUGGAUGAGAGACCUGAAUGGGGUCUAUGGACAUGGAAGCCCACAAAGUUAAGGAAUUGCACUGAACAAACAAAAAGGUGGUGGGUUCAGAUGGUAUGGCGUGGGAACAGGCGAGAGAAGAGCGAGAAGCAUCUUCCCCGUAAACAAUGCAAGCUUUAGACGUCUUGGCUGUUAAUUACAUGAAGAGACCAAGAGACUUGUAAGCCCAUCUGCUACAACGGGGAGGAUUCCAUACGGCUGAAAUCUGAUUCUGGAUCUUGGAGAGUGGGUUAAGUAGAUGCAGCCAGGCAGGAGCACUGUGAGCAAAACAAUAGGAAGGUGCAUCUGUAUCGUUUGUAGCCACUUUCAAAGCACUUAGGCACACAUCACCCCGUUUAAUGCGUAUACCCGUGUGAAGGAGGUAUCAGGUUCUCAUUUUUCAAAUGGAGAAACUGAGACUCAGGGGGGUUAAGUCAUUUCCUCGAAGUCACACAAUUAAUAAACAACUGCUGCCAAAUUAAGGUUUUCUGACCUCCAAUUCUUUGCUUCUUCCAAGUUUGGAGAAAACUCUCGUUAUGAAAUUUACUGGAUUCACUAAAGGAAAAAAAAAUCAAGCCCUCUUUGCUUCUUGGGAAGGAGCUCUGUGGUCUUCCUGUUGCACUGCCAGGCAGCUUUACCGCCUCCAUGUGUACAAAACCUCUGAAAAUGUUUUAAAUGUCAAUGCUUGUGAUCCAAGUAGAUUGCAAUACAAAUGGUGAAGAUGCACAGAAUUAGAUCAUGAAUUUAAAGUUACAGAAGCACCAUUGCCUUUGAUUCUAGGGCUGUACCAGGGGGCCAUCCACACAAGGGACAUGAGUAUCGUUUGACCAGAAUCUGGGAGUUUUAGAGGACUCCUGGAGCCUGUGUGCAAAUGCAGUGUCUGUCCCUGAGUAGAACAUUGGCCCAGAGCAGCUCCCCAUUUGGUGUCUAAACCAGACGUGGUCUGCUGGCGUAACAUCUCAUUUCUCCACCUUGGAUGUGUGCUUGAAGAUAGUUAUUGGGUCUGCUAGAGGGGGCAUCCUCUCAGGAAGGAUGGGGAAGGUGGUGCUUGGCUGAAUGUCAAAUGCAAGUUGCAGGGACAAGCCCAACCUCAGACAGGUGUUCUCCCACGUACACCCAUAUGCUUCAUGGACCGAUUCUGGGGAGAGUUGCUGUGGCUUGUCCCUUUAAACAAGAGGAAAGGCCUAACAUAUUCCAGUGUUAUGAGAUUCUCGUAUAUGUAUUUUUCCCGAGGUGCAGGGAAGAUGGUUGGGAUCAAGUUGAAGUCAGGCAAUGUGGAUGCUCCCUUCCAGAAUCUUCUACCCUAUUUAUCAGUUGACUGUGUUCAGAGGAUUUACCCUGUUCCUGUGAUGUUUUCUCCCCCAAAUGAGGGGUUUUAACUCUGAAUUUUUUGGUUGAUACCUGGAAAAUCAUUCAAACUCUCUGGUCUUGACCCCUGCCUCUCUUGAUUCCAAAAGGCGUAGAAAAUGACAGUCAUCCCUACCUAUCAACAGAGCUUCUGUGAGGACUAAUAAAACGUUGAGC
rnacentral:lncRNA from 1 species